rnacentral:rRNA from 1 species
GACGAACGCUGGCGGCGUGCUUAACACAUGCAAGUCGUACGGUAAGGCCCUUUCGGGGGUACACGAGUGGCGAACGGGUGAGUAACACGUGAGUAACCUGCCCACAACUUUGGGAUAACGCUAGGAAACUGGUGCUAAUACUGGAUAUGUGCUCCUGCUGCAUGGUGGGGGUUGGAAAGCUCCGGCGGUUGUGGAUGGACUCGCGACCUAUCAGCUUGUUGGUGGGGUAGUGGCCUACCAAGGCGGCGACGGGUAGCCGGCCUGAGAGGGUGACCGGCCACAGUGGGACUGAGAUACGGCACAGACUCCUACGGGAGGCAGAAGGGGGGAAUAUUGCACAAUGGGUGCAAGCCUGAUGCAGCAACGCCGCGUGCGGGAUGACGGCCUUCGGGUUGUAAACCGCUUUCAGCAGGGACGAAGCUUUUUGUGACGGUACCUGCAGAAGAAGCACCGGCUAACUACGUG